rnacentral:snoRNA from 17 species
ACCCUCAUUCUAGAUGAGAAUAGGCACUGUGGAUUAGUGUCUAAAAUUGGUCAGUGUGGCUAAAUUGACACAGUUUAUGCUUCUAUCACAGUAUAUGUAUUGCAGUGGUGACAAUGAGACCUGUAACAUUU